rnacentral:rRNA from 1 species
UACGAAGGGGGCUAGCGUUGUUCGGAUUUACUGGGCGUAAAGCGCACGUAGGCGGAUCGUUAAGUCAGGGGUGAAAUCCUGGAGCUCAACUCCAGAACUGCCUUUGAUACUGAGGAUCUUGAGUUCGGGAGAGGUGAGUGGAACUGCGAGUGUAGAGGUGAAAUUCGUAGAUAUUCGCAAGAACACCAGUGGCGAAGGCGGCUCACUGGCCCGAUACUGACGCUGAGGCACGAAAGCGUGGGGAGCAAACAGGG